rfam:TPA: Bos taurus chromosome 9, whole genome shotgun sequence.
UCCCAGGUGGCUCAGUGGUAAAACGUCCACCUGCCAAGUAGAAGACCUGGGUUUGAUCCCUGGGUUGGGAA